UACGAAGGGUGCAAGCGUUACUCGGAAUUACUGGGCGUAAAGCGUGCGUAGGUGGUUUGUUAAGUCUGUUGUGAAAGCCCCGGGCUCAACCUUGAGCUUGCAGUGGGUACGGGCAGACUAGAGUGUGGUAGGGGAGACUGGAAUUCCUGGUGUAGCGGUGAAAUGCGUAGAUAUCAGGAGGAACACCUGCGGUGUAGACGGCUUACUGGACGGUAACUGACGCUGAGGCACGAAAGCGUGGGUAGCAAACAGG
rnacentral:rRNA from 1 species